rnacentral:rRNA from 1 species
ACUUUACAAUGCGAGCAAUCGUGAUAAGGAAACCCUGAGUGCCUGUCAAUGCAGGCUGUUCUGGUGUCUAACACACACCAGGAGAAAGGGCGGGGCAAGACCGGUGCCAGCCGCCGCGGUAAUACCGGCUGCUCGAGUGAUAGCCACUUUUACUGGGCUUAAAGCGUUCGUAGCUUGGUCGUUAAGUCUCUGGGGAAAUCUUUUGACUCAACCAAAAGGCGUCUCAGGGAAACUGACGAUCUUGGAACCGGGAGAGGUAAGACGUACUUCGGGGGUAGGAGUGAAAUCUUGUAAUCCCCGAGGGACGACCGAUGGCGAAGGCAUCUUACCAGAACGGCUUCGACAGUGAGGGACGAAAGCUGGGGGAGCAAACCGGAUUAGAUACCCGGGUAGUCCCAGCCGUAAACGAUGUGCGUUAGGUGUGUCAGUGACCACGAGUCGCUGAGGUGCCGAAGGGAAACCGUGAAACGCACCGCCUGGGAAGUACGGUCGCAAGGCUGAAACUUAA